AGUGAACGCUGGCGGUAGGCCUAACACAUGCAAGUCGAACGGCAGCACAGUAAGAGCUUGCUCUUACGGGUGGCGAGUGGCGGACGGGUGAGGAAUACAUCGGAAUCUACUUUUUCGUGGGGGAUAACGUAGGGAAACUUACGCUAAUACCGCAUACGACCUACGGGUGAAAGCAGGGGAUCUUCGGACCUUGCGCGAUUGAAUGAGCCGACGUCGGAUUAGCUAGUUGGCGGGGUAAAGGCCCACCAAGGCGACGAUCCGUAGCUGGUCUGAGAGGAUGAUCAGCCACACUGGAACUGAGACACGGUCCAGACUCGUGCGGGAGGCAGCAGUGGGAAAUAUUGGGCAAUGGGCGCAAGCCUGAUCCAGCCAUACCGCGUGGGUGAAGAAGGCCUUCGGGUUGUAAAGCCCUUUUGUUGGGAAAGAAAAGCGGCAGGUUAAUACCGCGCUGUUCUGACGGUACCCAAAGAAUAAGCACCGGCUAACUUCGU
rnacentral:rRNA from 1 species